rnacentral:rRNA from 1 species
UACGUAGGGUGCAAGCGUUAAUCGGAAUUACUGGGCGUAAAGCGUGCGCAGGCGGUUUUUUAAGUCAGAUGUGAAAGCCCCGGGCUCAACCUGGGAAUUGCAUUUGAAACUGGGAAACUAGAGUGUGUGAGAGGGGGGUAGAAUUCCAAGUGUAGCGGUGAAAUGCGUAGAGAUUUGGAGGAAUACCAGUGGCGAAGGCGGCCCCCUGGCACGAUACUGACGCUCAGGUGCGAAAGCGUGGGGAGCAAACAGG